GUUCCUGCAGCGCAAUGAAUAGCGCGUUGGACUUCUUAUCCAAAGGUCGUGGGUUCAAAUCCCACGUGGGAUG
rnacentral:tRNA from 1 species